AGAGUUUGAUUAUGGCUCAGGAUGAACGCUGGCGGCGUGCUUAACACAUGCAAGUCGAACGAAGCAACUUAUCACGAUCCCUUCGGGGUGACGAUUGUUGACUGAGUGGCGGACGGGUGAGUAACGCGUGGGUAACCUACCUUGUACAGGGGGACAACAGUUGGAAACGACUGCUAAUACCGCAUAAGCGCACAGCUUCGCAUGAAGCAGUGUGAAAAGUUUUUCGGUACAAGAUGGACCCGCGUCUGAUUAGCUAGUUGGUGAGGUAACGGCCCACCAAGGCGACGAUCAGUAGCCGACCUGAGAGGGUGACCGGCCACAUUGGGACUGAGACACGGUCCAAACUCCUACGGGAGGCAGCAGUGGGGAAUAUUUGCACAAUGGGCGAAAGCCUGAUGCAGCCGACGCCGCGUGAGCGAAGAAGUAUUUCGGUAUGUAAAGCUCUAUCAGCAGGGAAGAUAAUGACGGUACCUGACUAAGAAGCACCGGCUAAAUACGUGCCAGCAGCCGC
rnacentral:rRNA from 1 species